rnacentral:rRNA from 1 species
CGUGUGUGAUGAAGGCCUUCGGGUCGUAAAGCACUGUGGGGAGAGACGAAAAUGCGCAGGAGGAAAUGCUUGCGUACUGACGGUACCUCCUUAGCAAGCACCGGCUAACUCUGUGCCAGCAGCCGCGGUAAUACAGAGGGUGCAAACGUUGCUCGGAUUUACUGGGCGUAAAGCGCGUGUAGGCGGACUCGCAAGUCGGUUGUGAAAUCCCUGGGCUCAACCUAGGAACUGCAUCCGAAACUGCGGGUCUUGAGUAAUGGAGAGGGUGGCGGAAUUCCCGGUGUAGAGGUGAAAUUCGUAGAUAUCGGGAGGAACAUCAGUGGCGAAGGCGGCCACCUGGACAUUUACUGACGCUGAGACGCGAAAGCGUGGGGAGCAAACAGGAUUAGAUACCCUGGUAGUCCACGCCGUAAACGAUGAGAACUAGGUGCAGCGGAUAUUGACCUCUGCUGUGCCGUAGCUAACGCGUUAA